UACGUAGGGGGCUAGCGUUGUUCGGAAUUACUGGGCGUAAAGGGCUCGUAGGCGGCCAACUAAGUCAGACGUGAAAUCCCUCAGCUUAACUGGGGAACUGCGUCUGAUACUGGAUGGCUUGGAUUCGGGAGAGGAAUGCGGAAUUCCAGGUGUAGCGGUGAAAUGCGUAGAUAUCUGGAGGAACACCGGUGGCGAAGGCGGCAUUCUGGACCGACAUUGACGCUGAGGAGCGAAAGCCAGGGGAGCAAACGGG
rnacentral:rRNA from 1 species